GCGUGAUGUGUACGGUGCAUUUAUGGAUCGUGUGGAAGAAAAGUUUAUGAAGACAUGCAAGAGCAGGUUUUGGUACCCAGAAGAGAAAUGGGAGGAACAGAGGCAAAAAUCUCAGAUAGCUGAUGGACAGAGACAACAUAGGACUUUCUGAAAUCUCUUCUGAAUGUUCAUUUUCUGU